ACUAUCCUUGUCUUGGGGUGGCGCGGCUACUCAAUGAGCGUCUAGCGAGAGCAGCUCUGCUAACACCAUACCAACACAUUCGCAUCACCUGGACAAUCUUGCCCAGGCAAUGGUGCAAUUUUUGGAACC
ensembl:snRNA RNU4ATAC16P RNA, U4atac small nuclear 16, pseudogene